GGGUUGUGAGGUUAAGCGACUAAGCGUACACGGUGGAUGCCCUGGCAGUCAGAGGCGAUGAAGGACGUGCUAAUCUGCGAUAAGCGUCGGUAAGGUGAUAUGAACCGUUAUAACCGGCGAUUUCCGAAUGGGGAAACCCAGUGUGUUUCGACACACUAUCAUUAACUGAAUCCAUAGGUUAAUGAGGCGAACCGGGGGAACUGAAACAUCUAAGUACCCCGAGGAAAAGAAAUCAACCGAGAUUCCCCCAGUAGCGGCGAGCGAACGGGGAGGAGCCCAGAGCCUGAAUCAGUGUGUGUGUUAGUGGAAGCGUCUGGAAAGGCGCGCGAUACAGGGUGACAGCCCCGUACACAAAAAUGCACAUACUGUGAGCUCGAUGAGUAGGGCGGGACACGUGGUAUCCUGUCUGAAUAUGGGGGGACCAUCCUCCAAGGCUAAAUACUCCUGACUGACCGAUAGUGAACCAGUACCGUGAGGGAAAGGCGAAAAGAACCCCGGCGAGGGGAGUGAAAAAGAACCUGAAACCGUGUACGUACAAGCAGUGGGAGCCUCUUUAUGGGGUGACUGCGUACCUUUUGUAUAAUGGGUCAGCGACUUAUAUUCUGUAGCAAGGUUAACCGAAUAGGGGAGCCGAAGGGAAACCGAGUCUUAACUGGGCGUUAAGUUGCAGGGUAUAGACCCGAAACCCGGUGAUCUAGCCAUGGGCAGGUUGAAGGUUGGGUAACACUAACUGGAGGACCGAACCGACUAAUGUUGAAAAAUUAGCGGAUGACUUGUGGCUGGGGGUGAAAGGCCAAUCAAACCGGGAGAUAGCUGGUUCUCCCCGAAAGCUAUUUAGGUAGCGCCUCGUGAAUUCAUCUCCGGGGGUAGAGCACUGUUUCGGCAAGGGGGUCAUCCCGACUUACCAACCCGAUGCAAACUGCGAAUACCGGAGAAUGUUAUCACGGGAGACACACGGCGGGUGCUAACGUCCGUCGUGAAGAGGGAAACAACCCAGACCGCCAGCUAAGGUCCCAAAGUCAUGGUUAAGUGGGAAACGAUGUGGGAAGGCCCAGACAGCCAGGAUGUUGGCUUAGAAGCAGCCAUCAUUUAAAGAAAGCGUAAUAGCUCACUGGUCGAGUCGGCCUGCGCGGAAGAUGUAACGGGGCUAAACCAUGCACCGAAGCUGCGGCAGCGACGCUUAUGCGUUGUUGGGUAGGGGAGCGUUCUGUAAGCCUGCGAAGGUGUGCUGUGAGGCAUGCUGGAGGUAUCAGAAGUGCGAAUGCUGACAUAAGUAACGAUAAAGCGGGUGAAAAGCCCGCUCGCCGGAAGACCAAGGGUUCCUGUCCAACGUUAAUCGGGGCAGGGUGAGUCGACCCCUAAGGCGAGGCCGAAAGGCGUAGUCGAUGGGAAACAGGUUAAUAUUCCUGUACUUGGUGUUACUGCGAAGGGGGGACGGAGAAGGCUAUGUUGGCCGGGCGACGGUUGUCCCGGUUUAAGCGUGUAGGCUGGUUUUCCAGGCAAAUCCGGAAAAUCAAGGCUGAGGCGUGAUGACGAGGCACUACGGUGCUGAAGCAACAAAUGCCCUGCUUCCAGGAAAAGCCUCUAAGCAUCAGGUAACAUCAAAUCGUACCCCAAACCGACACAGGUGGUCAGGUAGAGAAUACCAAGGCGCUUGAGAGAACUCGGGUGAAGGAACUAGGCAAAAUGGUGCCGUAACUUCGGGAGAAGGCACGCUGAUAUGUAGGUGAAGCGACUUGCUCGUGGAGCUGAAAUCAGUCGAAGAUACCAGCUGGCUGCAACUGUUUAUUAAAAACACAGCACUGUGCAAACACGAAAGUGGACGUAUACGGUGUGACGCCUGCCCGGUGCCGGAAGGUUAAUUGAUGGGGUUAGCGGUAACGCGAAGCUCUUGAUCGAAGCCCCGGUAAACGGCGGCCGUAACUAUAACGGUCCUAAGGUAGCGAAAUUCCUUGUCGGGUAAGUUCCGACCUGCACGAAUGGCGUAAUGAUGGCCAGGCUGUCUCCACCCGAGACUCAGUGAAAUUGAACUCGCUGUGAAGAUGCAGUGUACCCGCGGCAAGACGGAAAGACCCCGUGAACCUUUACUAUAGCUUGACACUGAACAUUGAGCCUUGAUGUGUAGGAUAGGUGGGAGGCUUUGAAGUGUGGACGCCAGUCUGCAUGGAGCCGACCUUGAAAUACCACCCUUUAAUGUUUGAUGUUCUAACGUUGGCCCCUGAUCGGGGUUGCGGACAGUGUCUGGUGGGUAGUUUGACUGGGGCGGUCUCCUCCUAAAGAGUAACGGAGGAGCACGAAGGUUGGCUAAUCCUGGUCGGACAUCAGGAGGUUAGUGCAAUGGCAUAAGCCAGCUUGACUGCGAGCGUGACGGCGCGAGCAGGUGCGAAAGCAGGUCAUAGUGAUCCGGUGGUUCUGAAUGGAAGGGCCAUCGCUCAACGGAUAAAAGGUACUCCGGGGAUAACAGGCUGAUACCGCCCAAGAGUUCAUAUCGACGGCGGUGUUUGGCACCUCGAUGUCGGCUCAUCACAUCCUGGGGCUGAAGUAGGUCCCAAGGGUAUGGCUGUUCGCCAUUUAAAGUGGUACGCGAGCUGGGUUUAGAACGUCGUGAGACAGUUCGGUCCCUAUCUGCCGUGGGCGCUGGAGAACUGAGGGGGGCUGCUCCUAGUACGAGAGGACCGGAGUGGACGCAUCACUGGUGUUCGGGUUGUCAUGCCAAUGGCACUGCCCGGUAGCUAAAUGCGGAAGAGAUAAGUGCUGAAAGCAUCUAAGCACGAAACUUGCCCCGAGAUGAGUUCUCCCUGAGACUUUAAGUCUCCUGAAGGAACGUUGAAGACGACGACGUUGAUAGGCCGGGUGUGUAAGCGCAGCGAUGCGUUGAGCUAACCGGUACUAAUGAACCGUGAGGCUUAACCUUACAACGCCGAAGGUGUUU
rnacentral:rRNA from 1 species